rnacentral:lncRNA from 1 species
AUGACGCGUCAGAUUGGCUCCGCCCACAGCGCAUACAUACACGUCCUGGAACUUCUGUCUGUCUGGUCACACCAGACACAACACGGAGUCAUGGAUCAGAAGCACAGUGACGGUGACGUCCAGACGCCUGCUGCGGACAGUCUGGAGUUCAAACUCCUGAUGGCAUACGCCCGCAAGAGACGACCCACCGACACCCGUCUGCCGCAGGACGUCCCGUCUUCACCACAGCUGCCUGAAGAACACGGCAUAGCAAAGAAAAAUAAAAGAAAGAAGAGACUGUUGUCUCUCUUGAAGUGUAUUAAACCACAGACAGAUGAUGUACGUGCACGAAAGCCAGCAACAUUUGACGUCUCAGGCAAUAGGAAAGUGGAGAAGAUGGAGAACUUGGUCGGUGAACUGACAGAGAUAUCAGCUUCUGUGCACUUCACUCCCUGUGAAAUAGAAGCAGACGGUCCAGAAGACGAGGAGUCUGAUUUUGCGAGAAAGCUGGCUGAGCUCCUUAGAGAACAAGGUGAUGAACUGAAUGAAAAGAUUAAGGCAGACAAGGUCUUACUUGAAAUACUGCGGUCCUCGCUCUCAUACAGCUUCUUCAUGAAAGUGAUGGAAGCUUUCUGUGGAAGUGUCUCUCCAGACAUGCCUUCAGAGCAGAAAGACAAGAAAGUCAAUGUGGCUCUGGUCUGUGAAGCCACCAGUCAGCUUGUUGGCAUCCAUUAUCAUCCAGUGACCUACGCUCCACGUGGAUAAACAAAAACAAUGGAUGUAGGCAAUGGAGAAGCUGAUGACGAAUCCAAAGAUGAAGUCCAGUGAGCAGAUGAGAUGCUCUCUCACAUUAUAACAUCUUUCUCAGGGGCACAGGCACUUUAUAAACCUGAAAAGUGGUUUUGUUUGGUGAACCAACAAGGAUAUCUUGUUUUUGUUCCCCAUUACAUCCUCAUAGCAUCCAAGAGAAAAAAAGAGGUAGUUCAUAGUGCCAAAUCUAACUGUAUGUUUACCAUACCUCACAAAAAAUGCACGGAUACUGCAUUAUAUAUGUUUGUAUGUUUAACACCACUUGUAAACUGUUUUUGUAAUUUAAUGUAGCAUCCAAAUUGUUAUGAAUUAUUUGCCCUUUUGUUAAAUCUGUACUUUUGUUUUGAAAUUAACUUAUUUUCGUAUCCUUGAACGUUAAAGUGAUUAAGAGAAUAUAUAAUGUCUUAAUGAAAUUUAUAUAUAUAUUUUCAAUGUUAUAAUAUUAAAGAAACUGUGAAAAUUUGUAAUUUUGUCUUCUUUUUUACUAGUAGUAAGUAUGUGGACCUACUUUUCUGAUUAAAAGGUCAUCGAUUAAUCUUUUGAUUGAAGUCUACAAUAGUUUCAUCACUAAACCAAAGGCUUCUAGUCAGAGUUAUUAUCAUUUUUACUUAUAUUUUUAAAUAUAUAUAUAUAUAUAUAUAUAUAUAUAUAUCUACUUUUAACUUAUUUUCGUAUCCUUGAACGUUAAAGUGAUUAAGAGAAUAUAUAAUGUCUUAAUGAAAUUUAUAUAUAUAUUUUCAAUGUUAUAAUAUUAAAGAAACUGUGAAAAUUUGUAAUUUUGUCUUCUUUUUACUAGUAGUAAGUAUGUGGACCUACUUUUC